rnacentral:rRNA from 1 species
UAGGGAAUAUUGCACAAUGGGGGAAACCCUGAUGCAGCGACGCCGCGUGAGUGAUGAAGGCCUUCGGGUCGUAAAGCUCUGUCGUAUGGGACUAACAAAAUGAAGGUACCAUGCAGGAAAGGAUCGGCUAACUUCGUGCCAGCAGCCGCGGUAAGACGAGGGAUCCUAGCGUUGUUCGGAAUUAUUGGGCGUAAAGCGGGUGUAGGCGGACUUAUAAGUCAGGUGUGAAAUCCCAGGGCUCAACCCUGGAAGUGCACUUGAUACUGCAAGUCUUGAGUGUGGUAGAGGCUAUUAGAAUUCCUGGUGUAGUGGUGAAAUACGUAGAUAUCAGGAGGAAUACCGGAGGCGAAGGCGGAUAGCUGGGCCAACACUGACGCUGAGACCCGAAAGCGUGGGGAUCAAACAGGAUUAGAUACCCUUGUAGUCCCUGAGCGGGCUGGCAAGGCGCAU